GCAUAUGUGGCUCAGUUGGUAGAGCAUGGUGUUUGCAAUGGUGUUUGCAACGCCAGGGUUGUGGGUUUGAUUCCCACAGGGGGCC
rnacentral:tRNA from 1 species